rnacentral:rRNA from 1 species
CACUCCUACGGGAGGCAGCAGUGGGGAAUAUUGCACAAUGGGCGCAAGCCUGAUGCAGCCAUGCCGCGUGUAUGAAGAAGGCCUUCGGGUUGUAAAGUACUUUCAGCGGGGAGGAAGGCGAUAAGGUUAAUAACCUUGUUGAUUGACGUUACCCGCAGAAGAAGCACCGGCUAACUCCGUGCCAGCAGCCGCGGUAAUACGGAGGGUGCAAGCGUUAAUCGGAAUUACUGGGCGUAAAGCGCACGCAGGCGGUCUGUCAAGUCGGAUGUGAAAUCCCCGGGCUCAACCUGGGAACUGCAUUCGAAACUGGCAGGCUAGAGUCUUGUAGAGGGGGGUAGAAUUCCAGGUGUAGCGGUGAAAUGCGUAGAGAUCUGGAGGAAUACCGGUGGCGAAGGCGGCCCCCUGGACAAAGACUGACGCUCAGGUGCGAAAGCGUGGGGAGCAAACAGGAUUAGAUACCCGUGUAGUCCC